UGCUAACUCAAUGGCAGAGUACUCGGCUUUUAAGUGCGUUCCGGGUUCGAGUCCCGGGCAACCCAU
rnacentral:tRNA from 1 species